GGAAUAUUGGACAAUGGGCGCAAGCCUGAUCCAGCCAUCCAGCGUGCAGGAAGAAGGCCCUAUGGGUUGUAAACUGCUUUUAUCAGGGAAGAAACCUCUGGAUUUACUCCGGAGCUGACGGUACUUGAAGAAUAAGCACCGGCGAACUCCGUGCCAGCAGCCGCGGUAAUACGGAGGGUGCGAGCGUUAUCCGGAAUUACUGGGUUUAAAGGGUGCGUAGGCGGCUUUGUAAGUCAGGAGUGAAAGUUUGCGGCUCAACCGUAAAAUUGCUUUUGAUACUGCAUGGCUCGAAUCAGGAUGAGGUUAGCGGAAUGUGGCAUGUAGCGGUGAAAUGCAUAAAUAUGCCAUAGAACACCAAUUGCGAAGGCAGCUGGCUAGACCUGUAUUGACGCUGAGGCACGAAAGCGUGGGGAGCGAA
rnacentral:rRNA from 1 species